ensembl:snRNA U6 U6 spliceosomal RNA
GUGCUCGCUUCGGCAGCACAUAUACUAAAAUUGGAACGAUACAGAGAAGAGUAGCAUGGCCCCUGCGCAAGAACGAGAGCCAGAGCAAUCAAUCAAUCUCUCUCUGU